rnacentral:rRNA from 1 species
CACGUAGGGUGCGAGCGUUGUCCGGAAUUAUUGGGCGUAAAGAGCUCGUAGGCGGUGUGUCGCGUCGGCCGUGAAAACCUGCAGCUUUAACUGUGGGCUUGCGGUCGAUACGGGCAUCACUGGAGGUUCGGCAGGGGAGACUGGAAUUCCGUGGUGAUAGCGGUGAAAUGCGCAGAUAUCAGGAGGAACACCGGUGGCGAAGGCGGCUCACUGGGGCUUUUUCUGACGCUGAGGAACGAAAGCCAGGGUAGCGAACGGG